GAAGACUUAGCAAUUGUUGUUCAAAGUCAAGGUUUGUAUUGGUGAUUCAUGUUAUAUAUAAAAUAAUUAGGGCUAGUAAUUUUGGCUAAAUCGUGCAAUUGGUAAAAUAUAUAUAGUUAAAAAUUUAGUAUUCUUUGGAUUAUUGGAUGUGCUACGUGUAUACAAAUUUUUGAGAUAAUCUAAAGGCGUGAUUUAGAGAUAUCUAGUUUUUAGCAUAAGAGGAUUUUAGAAGGUGGCAAUUUGAGGUUGGGUAGGAUUUCUAUGAUUUUUGAAGAUCUAUUAGUUAGAUUAAAGUAAAAAUUGGCAUGGUGUUGAAAGACUUGAAGAUCAAGUUAUAUACCAAUUUUGAGACAAAGUUAAUAGUUGGAAAGGGAGAAAUCAUUACUAAGAUUUCUACUUCACUUUUGAAGUUGGUGGCCGAGUAAUAUUAGUGCAAUUUUUGGAGGUUUUCUCACAAUCUGUAAGUUGGAUUAGGCUAAAUAUUCUUGAGCAUAUAGAAGACUUACAUUGACAAUUUCAUGCAAAAUUCCACAUCAAGUGGACAGUCGGAUUGGAUGUUACAGCUUAGUAAAGUUCACUGAUUAGGAUUGGGGCUUAUA
rnacentral:lncRNA from 1 species